rnacentral:tRNA from 1 species
GGAGAGGUGGCUGAGUGGUCGAAAGCACCUCACUGCUAACGAGGCGUUCUGUAAAAGGAACCGCGGGUUCGAAUCCCGCCCUCUCCG